CUAUGGUCGGCACGUCUGGUAGCAUCUCUGGCUGCUGUUGACCUUGUUUUUGGAGUAAAACACGGUGGAAGCUGAAUUAGUAAGGAUGACUCCUGCUCCUGUCAUCUCUAAGCUCCUCACACAUCUUUACCUGCACAUGAGGAAAAUCACUCCUGUAGAAUGCAGAUGUUCAGAGGGAGAUGAUGCCACAUCUGGUCCAGCUGAUGGAAGGUCUUGAAGUUCUCUGACUGGCCUCGACUGAAGAUGGUCGUCUCACUGGAUUUAAGAUGCACAAUGAGGGACGUCUGCAGUGACUGAGAAAGAGUCUCACCACAUCCUGACAUGAGGAAAAAGACUUUAUUGAAGACUACAAUGAGAAAAACUAUCAGACAGCAGACGGCAUGCAUUCAAGUUGAGCUCUGAACAUUUGAUCUGGAACAGGAAUUCAAUAACAGCAGCAUGAGCUUCAUUUCAGUCUGUAGCUGCUGAAUUCAUGGAUGAAUCAUCUGGCACUAGAGAGGAAGACCAUCAAACAUCCACGUCAGCUGAUGGAGGUCCAAGAGUCUCACCGAACAACCAACCUACAAAGUGAAGACCUCAAAUCUGAUUGGACGGCCUCCUAUUCAGCCACAUGUGUGAACAAAUGCCUCUGAGUUGAUUUGUUUUCUAAAAUAAAUCUAGUUUGAGUC
ensembl:lncRNA